AUGCGCUGCGCACACAGGAUACUUGCUCCUGGGAGAUAAGAGCUAGCCGGGAACAAUGACGGGGUCCACGCCCAGCGUCCGCGCCCUGAUUCCCGAAGUCUGAACCUCCCCCCAUCACCUUCCCCCAAAAUCCAAAGCCAAAGACCUUUGGCUUCUUUGCUUUUCCUGAGGCGGUUGGCCGAAGGUGGCCCUCCUGACUCAUUCACUUUCCGUUUCUUCCCACAGAUACGUUCAUUAAUGCUUUUUCCAGCCGGAGACAAACUUUUUGGGGGUGGGGUAGGGGGGGUAUGGAGGGAGAGUUGGCUAGGGCUGCGGGUAACCCAGCGCCUACUGCCGGGGAAGACUCGGACGAAAACCGAGGCAAACCAACCAUUAAAAAGUGCAUCCAAUAAGAAUUUUUCCACUCAGGCCCUCCGCUGCCGAGACGCGGCAGACUCCCAGAGCGGCUCACCCACUCAUCGAAGCGGAUUCUGGGCGGUUUCGGGCUGACCCGCGCUGUCAGGGCGCGGACUCCAUUCCGGGCGCAUUGUUAGGAGAAGGGGCCCCUCGGGGCGGCGCGCCUCGACCCUGGGCUCCCGGUGCCCGCAGAGGGCGGAGAUCCGCGGCGCCCUAGGCCACCUAUCCGCAUCUUCUCGAGCCAAACCCCCAGCGCUUACCCGGACCCGACGGCCCAAGCACUGACUCCCAGGCAAGAGUCGCCCUUCCUGGUCCCCAGGGAACUGACACUACCGCGGGACGUUCCCUCUAGGACAGUCAGCAGGUCCCAGGAGCGCAGCACGCAACAGCGCAGAGCAGACCCAGACUUUUCCCGGGGUGAGACCCGGAGGCCCGCGCUCUGGACCGUCCUCCCUACCCAGCCUGGAGGCCGGCGUUCCCCGGCCCAACCCGGAGACCUCCCCGCCUCCCUCCUGGGCCGCCGCGCGCCCCAGUUGGAGCAGCCUCGAGGGGCUGGGCCCUUUCGGCCGGACUCCCUUCUCCCGGACAUCCAAAACAGGUUACCUUGUCCACGCUCUCCGGACCACGCUUUGGACUUGCUCACUUUUAUUUAAGAGUCCGACGGGGGAAAGAGGGAAAAAAAAUCCAGAGGAGAUCCAAGUCAAUUGGAAGAAAAAAUUUCAAAAGGGUGUCCACAGAGGCGAAAAAAGCCCAGGCUCUACCGACCUUCAAACUACAACAGAGCUUUCAGGAGAAUGCGGAGAGACGGCUUCCCACCCGGACCUCACCAGAAACCCGCACACCCCAGCCACAUUGCUCCUCAUUCAGCCAGAAAGGACUCCAACUCCACCACCAGGAGGCCCCCCUUCCUGGUGCUGGCCAGUUGCAGAGGCUGUUCAUGGCAUCCCACAGGUGGCGACUGCCCCCCACCCUCCUCCUAGCACUUUAGAGGGUCCCUCUGUGGCAGACACCAUGGCUAGGUUUCUCUUUCCAACUCCUGUUGGUCUGGCAAGUGACAGAUCAUCUUCACUACAUUAAUCAGUAGUCACCCGAACAUUCCUAUACUGUCCCCCAAUUCCUUUCAGCACCAGCUGCCUCCCCCACUGGAAUUAUUCAAUAUGGAACUAGAUUAAAUUGAAGACUUGCCCUUUAGUUUUUAACUGUGGAACUCCAUCGCACUUUCUGUUUCUCCA
rnacentral:lncRNA from 1 species